rnacentral:rRNA from 1 species
GAGUUGACUCCUACGGGAGGCAGCAGUGGGGAAUAUUGCGCAAUGGGGGCAACCCUGACGCAGCCAUGCCGCGUGAAUGAAGAAGGCCUUCGGGUUGUAAAGUUCUUUCGGUAGCGAGGAAGGCAUUUAGUUUAAUAGACUGAGUGAUUGACGUUAACUACAGAAGAAGCACCGGCUAACUCCGUGCCAGCAGCCGCGGUAAUACGGAGGGUGCGAGCGUUAAUCGGAAUAACUGGGCGUAAAGGGCACGCAGGCGGUUACUUAAGUGAGGUGGGAAAGCCCCGGGCUUAACCUGGGAACUUAAUUUCAUACUGGGUCGCUAGAGUACUUUAGGGAGGGGUAGAAUUCCACGUGUAGCGGUGAAAUGCGUAGGGAUGUGGAGGAAUACCGAAGGCGAAGGCAGCCCCUUGGGAAUGUACUGACGCUCAUGUGCGAAAGCGUGGGGAGCAAACAGGAUUAGAAACCCCGGUAGUCCUAG